GAUGAACGCUGGCGGCGUGCCUAAUACAUGCAAGUCGAGCGAAUGGAUUAAGAGCUUGCUCUUAUGAAGUUAGCGGCGGACGGGUGAGUAACACGCGGGUAACCUGCCCAUAAGACUGGGAUAACUCCGGGAAACCGGGGCUAAUACCGGAUAACAUUUUGAACCGCAUGGUUCGAAAUUGAAAGGCGGCUUCGGCUAUCACUUAUGGAUGGACCCGCGUCGCAUUAGCUAGUUGGUGAGGUAACGGCUCACCAAGGCAACGAUGCGUAGCCGACCGGAGAGGGUGAUCGGCCACACUGGGACUGAGACACGGCCCAGACUCCUACGGGAGGCAGCAGUAGGGAAUCUUCCGCAAUGGACGAAAGUCUGACGGAGCAACGCCGCGUGAGUGAUGAAGGCUUUCGGGUCGUAAAACUCUGUUGUUAGGGAAGAACAAGUGCUAGUUGAAUAAGCUGGCACCUUGACGGUACCUAACCAGAAAGCCACGGCUAACUACGUGCCAGCAGCCGCGGUAA
rnacentral:rRNA from 1 species